GAUGAACGCUGGCGGCGUGCCUAAUACAUGCAAGUCGAGCGAACAGACGAGGAGCUUGCUCCUCUGACGUUAGCGGCGGACGGGUGAGUAACACGUGGAUAACCUACCUAUAAGACUGGGAUAACUUCGGGAAACCGGAGCUAAUACCGGAAAAUAUAUUGAACCGCAUGGUUCAAUAGUGAAAGACGGUUUUGCUGUCACUUAUAGAUGGAUCCGCGCCGCAUUAGCUAGUUGGUAAGGUAACGGCUUACCAAGGCAACGAUGCGUAGCCGACCUGUGAGGGUGAUCGGCCACACUGGAACUGAGACACGUUCCAGACUCCUACGGGAGGCAGCAGUAGGUAAUCUUCCGCAAUGGGCGAAAGCCUGACGGAGCAACGCCGCGUGAGUGAUGAAGGUCUUCGGAUCGUAAAACUCUGUUAUUAGGGAAGAACAAAUGUGUAAGUAACUAUGCACGUCUUGACGGUACCUAAUCAGAAAGCCACGGCUAACUACGUG
rnacentral:rRNA from 1 species